AUUGAACGCUGGCGGAAUGCUUUACACAUGCAAGUCGAACGGCAGCACGGACUUCGGUCUGGUGGCGAGUGGCGAACGGGUGAGUAACAUAUCGGAACGUAUCCAAUAAUGGGGGAUAACGAGUCGAAAGAUUCGCUAAUACCGCAUACGCCCUACGGGGGAAAGCUGGGGACCUUCGGGCCUGGCGUUAAUGGAGCGGCCGAUAUCUGAUAGGCUAGUUGGUGAGGUAAAGGCUCACCAAGGCGACGAUCAGUAGCUGGUCUGAGAGGACGACCAGCCACACUGGAACUGAGACACGGUCCAGACUCCUACGGGAGGCAGCAGUGGGGAAUUUUGGACAAUGGGCGCAAGCCUGAUCCAGCCAUUCCGCGUGAGUGAAGAAGGCCUUCGGGUUGUAAAGCUCCUUCGCAAGGGAAGAAAACUUAGCCACUAACAUUGGUUGAGGUUGACGGUACCUUGAUAAGAAGCACCGGCUAACUACGUGCCAGCCGCCGCGGUAA
rnacentral:rRNA from 1 species